rfam:Atopobium vaginae PB189-T1-4 contig00032, whole genome shotgun sequence.
AAAGCGAGCUGGAUGACUGCGGGGCACGACCUCUACGAUAGCUAUGUUGUAACACGUGCCAUGAGGAAAGUCCGGGCUCCACAGGGCAGGAUGCUGGCUAACGGCCAGGCGGAACUGGAUAUUUGGCACUAUGUGUUACCAAAACCAGAACCGACGGAAAGCGCCGCAGAAAAGAAGACUCCCACCACGUGCGGGCACAUCCGUGCACGCCGUAAGAGAAAAGCUGAAACGGUAGUGUAAGAGACUACCAGCGUUGUGGCAACACAGCGGCUUGGCAAGCCCCAUCUGGAGCAAACGCAAAUAGGAGUGCUAUAGAUUGGCCCAAUCUGCAUUCGGGUUGCGCGCUUGAGAUGUGCAGUAAUGUACACCCUAGAUAAAUUGUCAUCCUCGACAGAACCCGGCUUAUAGGCUCGCUUUGCUU